rnacentral:rRNA from 1 species
GACGAACGCUGGCGGCGUGCCUAACACAUGCAAGUCGAACGGAGAUACGAUUUCGGUUGUAUCUUAGUGGCGAACGGGUGAGUAACGCGUGAACAACCUGACUCUUAGAGGGGGAUAACACUCGGAAACGGGUGCUAAUACCGCAUAAGACCACGACCCGGCAUCGGGAUGAGGUCAAAGGAGCAAUCCGCUGAGAGAGGGGGUCGCGUCCCAUUAGAUAGAUGGCGGGGUAACGGCCCACCAAGGCGACGAUCAGUAGCCGGUCUGAGAGGAUGAGCGGCCACAUUGGGACUGAGACACGGCCCAAACUCCUACGGGAGGCAGCAGUGGGGAAUCUUCCGCAAUGGACGAAAGUCUGACGGAGCAACGCCGCGUGAGUGAAGAAGGUUUUCGGAUCGUAAAGCUCUGUUGUUUGAGACGAAUGUGCCUGUUUCGAAUAGGGAUAGGUAAUGACGGUAUUAAACGAGAAAGCCACGGCUAACUACGUGCCAGCAGCCGCCGUAA